UUCGGGUCGUAAAACUCUGUCCUCAAGGAAGAUAAUGACGGUACUUGAGGAGGAAGCCCCGGCUAACUACGUGCCAGCAGCCGCGGUAAUACGUAGGGGGCUAGCGGUAUCCGGAUUUACUGGGCGUAAAGGGUGCGUAGGCGGUCUUUCAAGUCAGGAGUGAAAGGCUACGGCUCAACCGUAGUAAGCUCUUGAAACUGGGAGACUUGAGUGCAGGAGAGGAGAGUGGAAUUC
rnacentral:rRNA from 1 species